GAGGGUCUAGCUUAGUGGUGUAGCACAUGCCUUGCAUGCAUGGGGUCUUGGGUUCAAUCCCCAGUACCUCCA
rnacentral:tRNA from 1 species